UACGGAGGGGGCUAGCGUUGUUCGGAAUUACUGGGCGUAAAGCGCACGUAGGCGGCUUUGCAAGUCAGAGGUGAAAGCCCGGGGCUCAACCCCGGAAUUGCCUUUGAGACUGCAUCGCUAGAAUUGUGGAGAGGUAAGUGGAAUUCCAAGUGUAGAGGUGAAAUUCGUAGAUAUUCGGAAGAACACCAGUGGCGAAGGCGACUUACUGGACACAUAUUGACGCUGAGGUGCGAAAGCGUGGGGAGCAAACAGG
rnacentral:rRNA from 1 species